UUCUGUGGGCAGAGUCCACCACGAAAUCAAAUAAAUGUUCUUAUGUUGCAGCCUUGCAGAACAUUCCCGACGGGAAUAAUGCAACACUUGUGUUGAUGUUAGAGUUCAUGACAGCGACGCACAGGCCGGACCACAGCUGUCUUAACAGAUGUCUCAUUGUUUUUACAAGUUACAAGUGUUUGGUUUUACACAUCUGUACUGAGUCCCUCUGUAGUGAUCGCAUUCUGGGACAACUGGUGGAUCAUUAACCUGCAUAAACACCGACUUUAGCCCGGGAGUUGUGAAAUGCCACAAAAGCAGCUCUGUUGGCACUUGCCCUUUGGUAUCAGCUGUUGACACAAAUAUUGUCCACCAGAAGCAGAGCUGAUCUUUGAUUUAACGAUCGGAUCCGGAGCCCAUUAAUGUGACAUCAACACUCAAAGUACUUUAAAUCCAUCCAAUUGCUUCAUGUUCCUCUUCCAUGGGACCCCGAGGUGUUCCCAGGCCAGACGAGAUGUUCUAUCUUCCCGGUGGGUUCCAGAUCUUCCCCUGGGGCCUGUUUUCAUUUGGGCAAACCCAAGGUUCUCUACAGGGAGACGUCCCGGAGGCUUCCAGAUCAGAUAAAGGGGCCCUCUCGGCUGGGACCUUUGGAUGUGAAAGAGCAGCACCUCCUCAACCGUCUCUCAGGUUGAGCCCUCCUACGUGAGAAGCUCAUUUCGCUUUGAGUUCUGAUCUGCUGAAAUGCAACUUCAACGGAACUGUCAAUCUCCAUUUUACCUUCACUCCCAAGGUUCUUGAUCUCAGCGACUCACUCCCAACCUGAAGGAUUUGACCUGGAAGUACAGACUCCUUAGAGCUCUCUUUACCUCGCUCCACAAUAUCUAUCACAUAAACAAUGUCUUCUGCUUUUUAACCAAAGACCCCCGCACUCCUUUACAAGAUGUUUCAAGGAAAUGCAACCUCAUCAAAAACAUUAAAAAAGUAUAAGUAUUGGACAGGUCUGCUUUUAAGUAGUUUUCACAAGAAAGCUAAACAUUUAAUUCGAAGUGGUUUUCAUCAUGAAACCUCCAUUUAUUAAAACAAUGACGCUGAUUGCAUGAGCUGACUUUUUGAAUGACUACAGACACUGUGGUCGUGCUUUUAAAGUUAGAAUAAAGAACCUCUUCAUGUUGGCCUUAGAUUGUGUCCCUGAAUAACCAAGUUUUACUUGCUUCGGGAAUGUGUUAUCGAUGGAUUUAUUCAUUUGGGUAAAUUAGUAAUGCAAAGAAUGGAACCACAGCUCUCAUUAAAAUCUAAAUGAAUGAAUACAUUAAAUGAGCUUCAAUGUUUGUCCCUCUACUUUUUAGUUUAAGUUUAACAUGUUGUUUUCUUGUCUAAAAAGUAGAUCAUUUGAAAAUAUUCCUAAUGAAUUAAUUAUUUAUCAUCUAUUAUAAAAAUCUAGUUUUAUCUUAGAACUUUAUAAGGAAUUUAAAAUGAAUGAAUUGCAGCCAUUCCAUUGCAGUGUUCCUUUAUUCGAUUCACUCAGUACAUUCAGAAGUUCUUCUUUUCUUAAUUCGAGAUACUGAUGCAAACACAGGAUGCACAUUCAAAACAAUGUUUUUAAUAUCGUUUUAACA